CUCUAUGGCCAUGCCACCCUGAACGCGCCCGAUCUCCUCUGAUCUCGGAGGCUAAGCAGGGUCGGGCCUGGCUGGUACUUGGCCAGCCCAGGCUGCAGUGCCGU
rnacentral:rRNA from 1 species